AUUGAACGCUGGCGGCAGGCCUAACACAUGCAAGUCGAGCGGAUGAGUGGAGCUUGCUCCAUGAUUCAGCGGCGGACGGGUGAGUAAUGCCUAGGAAUCUGCCUGGCAGUGGGGGACAACGUUUCGAAAGGAACGCUAAUACCGCAUACGUCCUACGGGAGAAAGUGGGGGAUCUUCGGACCUCACGCUAUCAGAUGAGCCUAGGUCGGAUUAGCUAGUUGGUGGGGUAAAGGGUCACCAAGGCGACGAUCCGUAACUGGUCUGAGAGGAUGAUCAGUCACACUGGAACUGAGACACGGUCCAGACUCCUACGGGAGGCAGCAGUGGGGGAUAUUGGACAAUGGGCGAAAGCCUGAUCCAGCCAUGCCGCGUGUGUGAAGAAGGUCUUCGGAUUGUAAAGCACUUUAAGUUGGGAGGAAGGGCAGUAAGUUAAUACCUUGCUGUUUUGACGUUACCAACAGAAUAAGCACCGGCUAACUUCGUGCCAGCAGCCGCCGUAAUAC
rnacentral:rRNA from 1 species